AACUUUCAGCAAUGGAUCUCUUGGUUCUGGCAUCGAUGAAGAACGCAGCGAAAUGCGAUAAGUAAUGUGAAUUGCAGAAUUCCGCGAAUCAUCGAAUCUUUGAACGCACAUUGCGCCCGUUAGUAUUCUAGCGGGCAUGCCUGUUCGAGCGUCAUUUCGACCCUCAAGCCUAAGAGCUUGGUGCUGGGGCACUACGGCCAAGCGCCGUAGGCCCCGAAAAACAUUGGCGGGCCUGUCGGACCCCGAGCGUAGUAAAUCUUCUCGCUUAGGCGGUACAGCAGCGCACUAGCCACUAAACUACGGCGGCCCCAAGGGGCCGUCUCCACUGGUUGACCUCGGAUCAGGUAGGAAUACCCGCUGAACUUAAGCAUAUCAAUAAGCGGAGGCU
rnacentral:misc_RNA from 1 species